UACGGAGGGUGCGAGCGUUGUCCGGAAUCACUGGGCGUAAAGGGCGCGUAGGCGGCGCGGAUAGUCGGCGGUGAAAGCCCGGAGCUCAACUCCGGGUCGGCCGUCGAUACUUCCGGGCUUGGGCACUGUAGAGGCAGAUGGAAUUCCGGGUGUAGCGGUGGAAUGCGUAGAGAUCCGGAAGAACACCGGUGGCGAAGGCGGUCUGCUGGGCAGUUGCUGACGCUGAUGCGCGACAGCGUGGGGAGCAAACAGG
rnacentral:rRNA from 1 species